GCGGUCAUCGUAUAAUGGUUAUUACCUUAGUCUUCCAAGCUGAAGAUGUGGGUUCGAUUCCUGCUGUCCGCUCCA
rnacentral:tRNA from 1 species